GCCCCAUAGCCUCACCUUCUUUCUUCUUCUUCUCUCCGUCGCAUAGCCUCACCGCCGAAUAGCAGCACAGCUGCACCACCUCACUGCCGCAUGCACCUCCACCCUUGCCAAUACAGAUCUCUGUGCCUGCGCCUCUGCCGUUCUACAACGCCACCGCCCACCACUGCCUCCAGCUUCCCGGACUCCGUCUUCACCCUCAACCCGUCUCAAUCGCCGGUCGGGAGCCCCCUCCGUCUUCACCAGUCACCACCGUCCAGUCGCCGCCUUGCCUCAGGAGAAGUCCUAUAUCUAUUGCAGCUGCAAUUAUAUACAUGAUAACGCAGCUUUUCUGAUUCAAAGAAACCAUUGAGAGUGAAAGUGAGACUUUAAGCCUGCAAAAGAGGUUGUUGCAAGUAUCCAAAAAUCCAUGAAGAGAAAAGAGGAAGAUACCAAACCAAUUCAAGUUGUGUAUGCCAGAGCUAUAAGAGGCCAUGAUAGUUAAGAGAAAGAAGCUGUGAAGAUCCAGUUGAAAUCUUUUUGUUUUCUUUUUCCCUUUCUAUAAGCUAAAUUACAGACUAUUCCCAUAAUCUUUGCAUAUUGAAGGCAGUUAGAUACUGAAGUGGCAGUGAAAAGAGAUAUGCCUAUGACUAGGGCUUUGUUGUGAGUUGUGAUCAUACAAGAAUGAAUAAAUUGGGAUCUUACUGUAGUAUAAUAGAUUAUUGUAUUAAUUGUGAGAUUGUAAAUAUUGUAUAAUAGAUUAUUGUAUUAUUGUAUGUGGUUGUGAUA